CGGCGGGGGCGCAGCAACAGACAGGCAGAGGCUCCGUCACUCUCUGACACCCGCCCCGUCACCCCUCACACACCGCCCGUCACCCUCACACACCGCCCGUCACCCUCACACACCGCCCGUCAGCCUCACACACCGCCCGUCACCCUCACACACCGCCCGUCACGCUCACACACCGCCCUGAUCACCCUCAUCCUCCGCCCGUCCCCCUCAGGAACCGCCGUGUCCCUUCAUAUGAUGCCUGACAACGUUAGGUCAAGGUGUUACCUAUGAAAUGGGAAGAAAUGGGCUACAUUCUCUACACUAAGAGAAUCAAGCACGAAAGUUAUUAUGAAACCAGUAACCAAAGGAGGAUUUAGCAGUAAACUAAGAAUAGAGUGCUUAGUUGAAUUAGGCCAUGAAGCACGCACACACCGCCGGUCACCCUCACACACAGACCGUCAGUCUCACACACAGACCGCCUGUCACCCUCACACACCGCCUGUCACCCUCACACAGGGCCU
rnacentral:rRNA from 1 species